rnacentral:lncRNA from 1 species
UUUGCUUAUAUAUAUAUAUAUAGAGUUGGACUGGGCUACUAUUAGUAGCAAAAUCCCAUUAUUGCUACCAGUUUUUUAGCCUUUGGAUCAACUCUUUUUAUUAUUUCUAACCAUUAGAUUAAAUACUAUAACCCAGUGGGGACCACUCAACCCUAGGGGGACCACUCAACUCUAACCGACUAAUAUCAUCCUGACCCUACAAUUUUUCAUCCAAUGGUUAAAAACUUGAUAGCAAAAAGAACGUUUUACUAUUAAUAGUAUUCCAGCCUAAUUCUAUAUAUAUAUAUAUAUAUAUACAUAUACAGAGUUUUGCUAGAAUACUAUCGGUAGUAAACGUCUCGGUUUACCAUUGAUUUGUUUUCGAUGAUAGAGCUUCCAAAUUGAUGAUUGGCACUGUUAAACAUGAUCUAAACUAUUUAAGCUAUUUGGAAAUCAAAUUUCACAAAUUUUCGAUAUUGUUCUCUUGUCCAUCAAGUGAACAGAAAAAUGAAUGGCUGGAAAUGAAUAUCUUUCAAAAAGUGAUGAUACAAUUUUUAUAUUUGAGAUUUAGAGUCUAGAUCUUAUUUUAAAUAGUUUAAAGAAUUUUUUAAUAAAAAUUUAGUUGAUUUGAACUUUACUAUACCGUUAAAUGAGCAAACGCACCAUAUCGGCCAUUAAAAUUAUAGAUUUUGUGACCCUUUAAUCGUUCAGUUAGUGAUGCCAAAAAAUCAUGAAAUUUGAUUUCUAAAUAAUUUAAAUGGUCUGGAUCAUGUUUAAUGGUGCCGAUCGUCGAUUUGGAAGCUCUAUCAUCAAGAACAAAUCGGUAGUAAACCGAGCAGUUUACUACCGAUAGUAGCCCAGUCAAACUCCAAUAUAUAUAUAUAUAUAUAUAGAGAGAGAGAGAGAGAGAGAGAGAGUUCGACUGAACUACUAUCGGUAGUAAACUGCUCGGUUUACUACCGAUUUGUUUUUUAUGAUAGAGCUUCCAAAUCGNAUUGUUCUCUUGUCCAUCGAGUGGACACAAAAAUAAAUGGCUGAAAAUGAAUAUUCUUUAAAAAAUGAUGAUAGGAGUCAUGUAAUCAAGAUCAAGAGUAUAGAUCUUGUUUUAAAUAGUUUAAAGAAUUUUCUAACAAAAAUUCAAUUGAUUUGAAUAUCUUUACGCCGUUAAACUAGAAAACGCCUCAUAUCGACCAUUAAAAUUACAAAUUUUGAAAUCCUUUGAUCAUUAGGCAAAUGAUGUCGAAAAGAUUUGAAAUUUGAUUUCUAAACACUUCAAGUGGUAUAGAUCAUAUUCAACGGUGCCGAUCGUCGAUUUCGAGACUCUAUCAUCGAAAACAAAUGGGUGGCAACGGAGCUCGUUUGCUAUUGAUAGUAUUCUAGCUCAACUCUCUCUCUCUCUCUCUCUCUCUCUCUCUCUCUCUCUCUCUCUCUCUCUCUCUAUAUAUAUAUAUAUACAUAUAUUCACUACUAUACUCUUAUAAGUACGAUCAGUCUCGUACUCAUAAGUCGUUUUCGAUGAUAGAGCUUCCGAAUUGACGAUUCAUACCGUUAAAUAUUAUCUAAAGUAUUUAAAACUUCUAAACAUCAAAUUUCAUAAUUUUUUGACAUCAUUUAUCUUACGAUCAAAAGUUUACAAAAUUGACAAUUUUUAACGUCCGGUAUCAAAAUAGGUUGAAUUUUUGAUAGAAAAUUAUAUUCACUAUCUAGAUAAAGAUCAAUAACUCCGAUGUUAAAUUGAAGGAUCCGAUCAUCCAUUUUUAGGACGUCGUUCGAUUUUGACCGUUUAUUUUAUGCCCACUUAAUGGGCUUUAUUAUGAUUUUAAAAUAUUAAGAAAUUUAUUUUUUAAAUAUUUCAAUAUUCUAAACCAUAUUCAACGGAGUAAAUUAUUGAUUUGGAAGUCCCAUCAUCGAAAACAACUUAUGUGUACGAAGUGCUCUAUACUCAUAAGAGUAUAGUAGCUAGCCCUACUCUCUCUCUCUCUCUCUCUCUCUCUCUCUCUCUCUCUAUAUAUAUAUAUAUAUAUGGGGAAGAGGGAGAGAAGAUCAUAAUUAGCCAUGCAUUGCUGCGAAUUGAAAUUAUUAGAAAACUUUUAAUUUAGUUUUUAAUAACAUUCAAUCAAAUUACAUAUAUGUUACUCGAAACCAAAUAGAAUACAAGAAUUACGUACGCUCAAUUCAUUUUCCUUAAUGAAUGAAGCAGGUAGCUCGAUCGCUAUCUAUUUCUUAAAAAAAAAAAAACACAAGAAUUACAAGAAAAGCAUCUAUAAAUAUACUUCUUCUUAUAUAUUC